rnacentral:rRNA from 1 species
GAUGAACGCUGGCGGCGUGCCUAAUACAUGCAAGUCGAGCGAACAGACGCGGAGCUUGCUCCUCUGACGUUAGCGGCGGACGGGUGAGUAACACGUGGAUAACCUACCUAUAAGACUGGGUUAACUUCGGGAAACCGGAGCUAAUACCGGAUAAUAUAUUGAACCGCAUGGUUCAAUAGUGAAAGACGGUUUUGCUUUCACUUAUAGAUGGAUCCGCGCCGUAUUAGCUAGUUGGUAAGGUAACGGCUUACCAAGGCAACGAUGCGUAGCCGACCUGAGAGGGUGAUCGGCCACACUGGAAGUGAGACACGGUCCAGACUCCUACGGGAGGCAGCAGUAGGGAAUCUUCCGCAAUGGGCGAAAGCAUGACGGAGCAACGCCGCGUGAGUGAUGAAGGUCUUCGGAUCGUAAAACUCUGUUAUUAGGGAAGAACAAAUGUGUAAGUAACUAUGCACGUCUUGACGGUACCUAAUCAGAAAGCCACGGCUAACUACGUG